rnacentral:rRNA from 1 species
UGGGGAAUUUUGCGCAAUGGGGGAAACCCUGACGCAGCAACGCCGCGUGAGCGAUGAAGGCCUUCGGGUCGUAAAGCUCUUUUAGUGGGGAAGAAUCCCUUUCGGGCGAAUAACCCGGGAGGAUGACGGUACCCACAGAAAAAGUUCCGGCUAACUACGUGCCAGCAGCCGCGGUAAUACGUAGGGAGCAAGCGUUGUUCGGAAUUAUUGGGCGUAAAGAGCGCGUAGGCGGUUCGGUAAGUCUGACGUGAAAUCCCGGAGCUUAACUCCGGAACUGCGUUGGAUACUGCCGGGCUUGAGUGUGGGAGAGGAGAGUGGAAUUCCCAGUGUAGAGGUGAAAUUCGUAGAUAUUGGGAGGAACACCCGUGGCGAAGGCGGCUCUCUGGACCACAACUGACGCUGAGGCGCGAAAGCUAGGGUAGCAAACGGGAUUAGAUACCCCGGUAGUCCUAGCCGUAAACGAUGGGCACUAGGUGUUGGAGGUAUCGA